GCCGGGAUGGCGGAAUUGGUAGACGCAGCGGACUUAAAAUCCGCUGGAUAUUUUUAUAUCCGUGCCGGUUCGACUCCGGCUCCCGGCAUCA
rnacentral:tRNA from 1 species